rnacentral:rRNA from 1 species
GGUCAAGCUACAAAGGGCGCAUGGUGAAUGCCUUGGCAUCAGGAGCCGAUGAAGGACGUGAUAAGCUGCGAUAAGCUUCGGGUAGGCGCACAUAGCCUGAGAUCCGAAGAUCUCCGAAUGAGGAAACUCACAUGGGAAACCCCAUGUAUCAUUAAGUGAAUACAUAGCUUAAUGAAGGUAACCCAGGGAACUGAAACAUCUAAGUACCUGGAGGAAGAGAAAGAAAAAUCGAUUUUCUUAGUAGCGGCGAGCGAAAGGGAAAGAGCCCAAACCGGAAACUUGUUUCCGGGGUUGAGGACAUAACAUAAAGAGAAGUAAUGGCUAAUUGAAGAGAACUGGAAAGUUCCACCGUAGAAGGUAAUAGUCCUGUAAAUGAAAGCUAGUAUAAUCGAGUUAUGAUCCAGAGUACCACGAGACACGUGAAACCUUGUGGGAAGCUGGGAGGACCACCUCCCAAGGCUAAAUACUACCUGAUGACCGAUAGUGAAGCAGUACCGUGAGGGAAAGGUGAAAAGAACCCCGGGAGGGGAGUGAAAUAGAACCUGAAACCGUGUGCCUACAACCGCUCAGAGCCCCUUAUGAGGGUGAUGAGGUGCUUUUUGUAGAACGAGCCAACGAGUUACGGUAUGUAGCAAGGUUAAGUACUUAAGGUACGGAGCCGAAGGGAAACCGAGUCUGAAUAGGGCGACUAGUUGCAUGCCGUAGACCCGAAACCGGGUGACCUAUCCAUGGCCAGGUUGAAGCGAGGGUAAAACCUCGUGGAGGACCGAACCACGUUGCUGUUGAAAAAGCAUGGGAUGAGCUGUGGAUAGCGGAGAAAUUCCAAUCGAACCCGGAGAUAGCUGGUUCUCUCCGAAAUAGCUUUAGGGCUAGCGUCGAGUAUGAGUAGUGGAGGUAGAGCACUGAAUGGGCUAGGGGGCAUAGCGCUUACCGAACCUUAUCAAACUCCGAAUGCCACAUACUUUGAGCUCGGCAGUCAGACUACGAAUGAUAAGAUCCGUGGUCAAAAGGGAAACAGCCCAGAUCGUCAGCUAAGGUCCCAAAGUGUAAGUUAAGUGGGAAAGGAUGUGAGAUUUCUAAGACAACUAGGAUGUUGGCUUAGAAGCAGCCAUUCAUUAAAAGAGUGCGUAAUAGCUCACUAGUCGAGAGAUCUUGCGCCGAAAAUGUAACGGGGCUAAACUUACCACCGAAGCUACGGGCUUGAACUUAGUUCAAGCGGUAGGAGAGCGUCGUAACCGGGCUGAAGUCGUACCGUAAGGAGCGGUGGACUGGUUACGAGUGAGAAUGUUGGCAUCAGUAGCGAGAUGUGGGUGAGAAUCCCACAGGCCGAAAACCUAAGGUUUCCUCAGGAAGGUUCGUCCGCUGAGGGUUAGUCGGGACCUAAGCCGAGGCCGAAAGGCGUAGGUGAUGGACAACUGGUUGAUAUUCCAGUACCACUACCAUCGUUAUUAUCGAUGGCGUGACGCAGGAGGAUAGUGUGUGCUAGCUAUUGGAUGCUAGUCUAAGCGUUUAGGCAGUGAGAGUAGGCAAAUCCGCUCUCAUAAUGCUGAGACGUGAUGGGGAAGGUUCUACGGAACCGAAGUACAUGAUUCCACGCUGCCAAGAAAAGCGUCUAGAGAGAGAAGUAGUGCCCGUACCGCAAACCGACACAGGUAGGUGAGGAGAGAAUCCUAAGGCCGGCGGAAGAAUUACAGUUAAGGAACUCGGCAAAUUGACCCCGUAAGUUAGCGAGAAGGGGUGCCUACGAGAGUAGGCCGCAGAGAAUAGGCCCAAGCAACUGUUUAGCAAAAACACAGGUCUCUGCUAAAGCGUAAGCUGAUGUAUAGGGGCUGACGCCUGCCCGGUGCUGGAAGGUUAAGGGGAACACUUAGCGCAAGCGAAGGUGUGAACUUAAGCCCCAGUAAACGGCGGCCGUAACUAUAACGGUCCUAAGGUAGCGAAAUUCCUUGUCAGGUAAGUUCUGACCCGCACGAAUGGCGUAAUGACUUGGGCACUGUCUCAACUGUAAAUCCGGCGAAGUUGUAGUGCGAGUGAAGAUGCUCGCUACCCGCGAUUGGACGGAAAGACCCCGUAGAGCUUUACUGUAGCUUAGCAUUGAGUUUUGGUAUUGUCUGUACAGGAUAGGUGGGAGACUAGGAAACCAGGGCGUCAGCCUUGGUGGAGUCAACCUUGGGAUACCACCCUGACAGUACUGAAAUUCUAACUGGCGGCCAUGAAUCUGGUCACAGGACAUUGUUAGGUGGGCAGUUUGACUGGGGCGGUCGCCUCCUAAAAAGUAACGGAGGCGCCCAAAGGUUCCCUCAGAACGGUCGGAAAUCGUUCGAAGAGUGCAAAGGCAGAAGGGAGCCUGACUGCGACACCCACAAGUGGAGCAGGGACGAAAGUCGGGCUUAGUGAUCCGGUGGUACCUCGUGGGAGGGCCAUCGCUCAACGGAUAAAAGCUACCUCGGGGAUAACAGGCUGAUCUCCCCCAAGAGUCCACAUCGACGGGGAGGUUUGGCACCUCGAUGUCGGCUCGUCGCAUCCUGGGGCUGAAGUAGGUCCCAAGGGUUGGGCUGUUCGCCCAUUAAAGCGGCACGCGAGCUGGGUUCAGAACGUCGUGAGACAGUUCGGUCCCUAUCCGUCGCGGGCGUAGGAAAUUUGAGAGGAGCUGUCCUUAGUACGAGAGGACCGGGAUGGACUGACCUCUGGUGUACCAGUUGUUCCGCCAGGAGCACAGCUGGGUAGCUAAGUCGGGAAUGGAUAAACGCUGAAAGCAUCUAAGCGUGAAGCCAACCUCAAGAUGAGAUUUCCCAUAGCGUAAGCUAGUAAGAUCCCUUGAAGAACACAAGGUUGAUAGGUCGGGGGUGUAAGCAUGGUAACAUGUUCAGCUGACCGAUACUAAUAGAUCGAGGGCUUGACCAA